CUUGACGACUUCAUCAAGCUCCUCGCCAGGUGGCAGGUUGACCACAGCAGACUUGAGCUGGUGGAACAUCUCGUCUCGUGACACCAUCCCAUCACCAUUAUGGUCGUACACGCUGAAGCAAUCUGGGUGGGUCAAUCUUCUCGUCGAGGGAGCCGCGGAGGAAGACUGACAUGCCAACGACAAACUCCUCUGGCCCGACACAACCAUCUUGGUCCAUGUCAAACACCUGAUACAUAGCCUCCAUCAAUCCCUCAUCUGUCAUACCGAAGAUCCCAUGCAUGAUGUCCCGGAACCUGCAAGGGAGGGGAAGAGGAGUGAAUGUGCGUGUGAGUCAGGGUAAAUGAGUACUGUACUGUACCAAUGAAGCAACUUUAAACAAAAAAAUCGUUAGUUAAAAAUUGAAAAUAAAUGUGUUCAACUGCUUUCAAACAUUCAUUGACUACAGAGAAAGAAAAAAAUGGAAUUGUUUAUAGUUUAUAGGAAAUGUUAAGAUAGGCAAAAUAUAAAUGCAAGUCUAAUUUUGACCAAAUGCGUCUGCAAGUCAUUUGUGUCCAGCGGUUAUGACUUCAUCCAGGCUUGUGAGUGAGUCAAUAAAGCUAUUUAUGAGUGAGAGGCCUGACCUGUUACCGUCCAUGCGAGGGGAGGUGCCAGUGAGGUCAUGCAGAGCCAGCAUGGCGUCCACCUCUUCACAUGUGACUGAAAAAGAAAUAAGGACAAUUUACUGUAUUUUCAACGCAAUUACAUUUCUAUAACAUACAGUCAACACAUCUUAAUCUUGUACAGUUUAUUCCAUUCAUGCUUAAAAUUGUACACAUUGUUCUUACAUACACCUGUACACACUGAUCUUACACCUGUACAGACUGUUCAUACUUACACCUGUACACACUGAUCUUACACCUGUACAGACUGUUCAUACUUACACCUGUACACACUGUUCUUACAUACAACUGUAUACACUUCUUACACACACCUGUACACAGUUUUUAUGUACGUACACUUGUAGACCAAGCCUUACUUUUCAUUACACUUGCUUACACUAAUGCCCCCGUGUCUUAAUACAACUGUCAGACUAUCCUCGCUUAACCCAUUGACACAAUAUGUUAGUCAAUAUAAAAUAUCAGUGAAAAUGUUUCGUCUCUUUACAUAUAUAAACUUUAACUAAUAUAAAUUUCUAAGUUAACUUCUCCAAACUAAUCUAAGCGAAAGUUAAUUUAAUAUUAAAUCAAUCAAAUUAUGAAUUGGUGUUCCCUCUUGGUCUCAUCCAUAUAGUUCAGCACUGUAGUGUGAUCGACCGUUUUGUACAUAUUUUGAUGAGUACAGACAGUAGAAUUAAAAACCCAAAAUUAAAUAUGCAGUAAUUCUGUUACUCAGUAAUCCCUCUUGCAGUAUUUGUCUAUCCGAUCACCACUGUAAACACCACUGGCUGUUUGCCGUCACUUACAAUGUGUGUUUUUAGCUAUUUUUUCCGCUAGCUUGGAAUAUCCCUUAUAGGUUGUGUUCUUCGACAUGGCCACCUACAGUACACUAGUCUCUAGGGUCACUGUGUGGUGUGACAAGACGCUCAAAUGUUGUUUACACGCGUUACCAUGGGAACGUGGCUAUGAGUAACUCCAAGUUGUGAUUUGUUGCUGAUAUUUAUGUUAACGUUAUAAAGGAAUAAUGACACCACGAUAAUGGAAUACUCAAAGAAUAGACAGAAAUAAGAUGUGAAGAAGUCUAAUUUUUUAUAUAAAUCGUGUGCAUGAUAUAAACACUCGGCCACGUCUCCAUACGAAUAUAUAAUUAUUUAUUUGUGUGUAUAUAAGGGUUUAGCGUAAUUUCCUAUUCCCUGACAACAGUUCAUGACAUGCCUCUUUAACCAACUCGGUGGUACUCCAUUGCCACACUGACACAUGUACAUUUUGUGGCCAACAUGUGAUCGACAAGACGAAAUGAGGCACAGGGUUCCGACUCUGGUAGGCACCCUACUAGAGUACACUAGAUCGGUGUUUCCUGGCUUUUCUCUUGUUCACAUGUUGGCGACAAAAUGCACGCUCGUGUGAACGCACCUUAAUACACUUCCCGCAAUUGGACCGUCUACAACAGCCUCACUAAUAGCUGAAUGACUUACGAAAAGGAGUUCAACCAACUAGCAACACACGGGAUCAAGCAUCAACAUUAAGGCAUAUCAAACUAUCCACAGCAGAGGCGUUUCAAUCCAGUACUCAAAGUAGGAACUUUGUCAAGCACAUCAGGCUCAAUAACAAAGCAAACGCAAGAAUAAUCUAAAACUACCUAAUCUGAAGUUUGGAUUUACCCCUUCAUCGUUAAACGGAUUUUCAACAAGAGGAAUUUACCGUACAACACUGUAUAUCAGCUUCAUAAUCUUACCUGAUGUUGGUGAUGGAUCUUAUUAUAUUACACUUUAUCCAAUGUAUGAAAAAAUUAUUUACGAAUGAAAAUAUGAAAUGCAUAGCAAAUAAAUUAGAAAUAUC
rnacentral:lncRNA from 1 species